ensembl:lncRNA
UUCUCUCUCUCUCUCUCUCUCUCUCUCUCUCUCUCUCUCUCUCUCUCUCUCUCUCUCUCUCUCUCUCUCUCUCUCUCUCUCUCUCUCUCUCUCUCUCUCUCUCUCUCUCUCUCUCUCUCUCUCUCUGUGUGUGUGUUAGGUCAGCCAGCCGACAGGAUGACAUUGAAGCAGGAAGCACUGAAGGUGAAACUCCUCCACAGAACACCUCAAAUACUGAAAGCGUGGACCCUGGUGAUGCGAGCGCUAAUGGCUUUAUGAACGGUGAUGUUAGACCUGAACAAGCUCGACCACUCCGACUGCAGCCUCACAGUUGAUGUGUGCAGAGUCGUCGAGAGCGAGUGAAGUUACGUUUCAGCUUCAGAACAGUCUGCUUCUGCCUUUUCUACUGUCGCACUUUCCCUACACUUUUGCAUCUGACUAUCGUACCCCAGGUCUGGUAAGGUCGAGAACACUGUGUGUUCCCUGUUUAACACAAACAACAUAUAGCUUAUACAUGUCACGGUUGUGACAUGCAACACCAGCAAGUGACCACUAGGUGUCACCGUGGAGACGAGUAUCGGUUUGUUUCGAAGCCUCGACACAGUUCGGCACAUUGCGUCAGUGUUCCACAAAGCCUCUCUCUGGCCCACUGACAUGCGUACCUGAAGGCGGGGACUGGAAGUCUUCACAGUGUAAAACACACAAACUCAUCCUCACACUCACUGCAGUGGGACUUUAACUGGACCGCUGGAUCUUACGAGUUGAGCGUUUGUUUGUUUUUUUCAUCAAAGAAACACCGUACAUUUAACCACCUCCAGCGGUUUCUCAUCUACUUUUUGUUGCGGAAUUUGGAGAGGAAAGUAGUCCCGUCCAUCACAUACAACACUUAUCAACAUUUGAAUGCUGUUGAGUCUUUAAAACAUGAAACUGGUUCAGGUCAACAAGACUUGUGCUGAACUUUGCAUGGGUGGUGUAUGCAACUACUCCACAUCACUACCAGAUUUCCUACAGAAGGAGGACUGUUAUUACAGCUGGAAAUCACAGGAUGGGACUGUGCUGGGCAAGGAAAGAUUUUUGACUCGUGAUGACUGUGAGAGUGGAAUUCACAAAGUUGUACGGUGUCUUAAUCCAAGUUAUGUGAGGGAAUACAUCUUUCACAUUUUCAACAGCACUACGCCAACCCCUGAAGCUGCUAAUAUGCGCGAAAGCAUGUACACCACUGUGAACCCUGACCCUCCCCAAUCUCAAAGCAACACCAUCGUCUCCAUCUCCAUCAUCGUGGUUGCCAUUCUGAUCGUAGGCCUGAUUGUAGGAAUGUGCUACAGAAAACGAAGGGUGAUAGUAGGACUCAGGGAGAAAUUGAUUUGUGGCUGCUGUCAAGGAGCAGAUGAAAAUAACAGGUCAGACAUCCCACUUGGGGACAUUGAACCAAGAAACAAUGAAGAUGAUGCUCAACUGAACACCUCAAAUACUGAAAGCGUGGACCCUGGUGAUGCGAGCGCUAACCGCUUUAUGAACGGUGAUGUUAGAACUGAAGAAGCUCGACCACUCCGACUGCAUCCUUACAGUUGAUGUGUGCAGAGUCGUCGAGAGCGAGUGAGGAUUACGGUUCGGCUUCAGAACUUCUGUCCAGUCUGCUUCUGCCUUUUCUACAGUCGCACUUUGCCGACAGUUUCGCAUCUGGGACACUUUUUAAAUCUGCAUUAAAAUUAAGUAGUUAAACUGAUACUGUGGUAUUAUAGGGCUCUAGAUAAAAGUGUCAUUUUUAAUCAUGACAAAGCAGAUCAAAUUUUAACUUUACACAUUGUUUUUAUACUUUGUAGCGGUAUUUUGGAGUAAAAAUGUAUUUUCAUAUGUAAUACUUGCUAUAUAAAUAACAUUUAUAAGAACUCAUUUUUGCCAAAGAAAGGGAAGAUCAAAGCAAAGAACCCCAAGAUAAAUUAAAAAACUUUUAGCUUCUUUUCUGCACUUUAAAACACUGCACAGCUGUCGGAAUCAAACCUGUAGCAUAGGCUCUUUAAGCUGUAGGUCACCUGACCAUGCCAACAUGACAGAUGUAGUAUGUCCAGAUUGUUUUCAUGCCUACUGCUUAUACUGAUACCUACAUACUGUAUCAGCGGCCGAGCUGUACGUACUGUCAUAUUAUGCAAUUUCAGACACUGGGUGUGUGUGUAUCUCUCAUUCCUGGCUAACUCUUAGGCCACUCAAGACUCGUUCCACUUUAGUUUACUUAUAAGCCCUUUCCUUAACUUGCACUGUAAGGCCCAAACUUUAGACUGGGUCAUCAUCAACUCUACGUUAUCGAAUCGAUGCUAUAAAGAGCACCAAUGGUGCCCAGUGCUGAUUCCUUUUUAUUUUCUCAUUGUGAUUGACCUUUGCUAUCUCCUUUAUUUUUUCUGUCUGUUCUGUAUGUAAUUUAUUUUGUGUGUAAAUUUGUUAGUAUUCUUUAAAUGCUGUCACCAGGUGUAGAGCUCGGCUGUUUGUCUGUUUUGCUUUAUUAUAUUCUUUUUUUUUUUUUUUUUUUUUUACACGGUCGGUGUGUGUGUGUGUGUGUGUGUGUGUGUGUGUGUGUGUGUGUGUGUGUGUGUCUUAGCGGUUAGGGCUCUGGGUUACUGAUUAGGUCGGGGGUUCAAGCCCCAGCACUGUCAAGCUACCACUGUCCCUUGAGCAAGCCUUAACCCUCUCUGCUCUGGGGGCUGACCUUGCACUCUGACCAUAGCUUCUUGACAGGCUGGGGUAUGUGAAGAAAAGAAUUUCACUGUGCUGUAAUGUAUAUGUGAUCAAUAAACACUCAUUAUUCUUAGCAGUGUCUUUUCCACCUUUUAUCCCAGUCAAACUUAUACCUGUUAUCAUCCUCAACCCUAGACUGGGGUGUAUCACUAUCCUCUAUUCCAGAAAAUCUGAGACAGCAAUACUAGAGACACAAUUUUUUAGAAAGUAAAAAGUCUUCUUUUUACAGAAGGAAGGGAAUUGGUGGAGCGACCAAUCAUAACCCUGUAACAUGAAGCCUUCUUUCUACCCCCAAAAUAGUCAAAUUGAACUUGGCUCA